rnacentral:rRNA from 1 species
UACGUAGGGGGCAAGCGUUGUCCGGAAUCAUUGGGCGUAAAGAGCGUGUAGGCGGCCCGAUAAGUCCGCUGUGAAAGUCCAGGGCUCAACCCUGGAAUGCCGGUGGAUACUGUCGGGCUCGAAUCCGGAAGAGGUGAGUGGAAUUCCUGGUGUAGCGGUGAAAUGCGCAGAUAUCAGGAGGAACACCAAUGGCGAAGGCAGCUCACUGGAUCGGUACUGACGCUGAUGCGCGAAAGCGUGGGGAGCAAACGGG